CGCUUUUAUAUAUUUACAUUUCCGAUCCCCCAUGGAGUUGCUUCAUGGUGGUUGAUCCUGUCUAGGAGUGAUCAUUCGGUUAGAACCGAAAACCAAAAUAAUGCUAAUUUUACUAUCCGAACUAAUAACCAAAAUUUCAAAAUAGCCGAAUUACUGAAUACCGAAUUACCGAAUUGUAAUUUCGGUAAUUCGGGUAAAAACCGAAUCACUGUCCAGCAAGUGGUACUGUUUAACAUCAGAGAAAAAAUUAAUCAGAGAAAAAAUGGAGAAACCUGACGACAUAAAGGAAAACAAGCAGUCAAGGUAGCAGAGGAGGGUGAAUUUUUUUUUUAAUUUUUUAACCCCCAAAGUCUAACAGGCUGAGAGGAAAAAGUGAAGGACUACCAAAAUUACAUAUCAUCAAGCCCAAGUGGGGCUUUAGAUUGUUCAAAUUUCUUCUCAGAUACUCCUUACCGAGGCACCAACCGGCACAAGAAAUCACCACCAAAUAGACAACUUCAACAGCAAACUUUAUGUACAUCUUAGAUCACAAGACAACAAGAAAGCAGUAAAGGGGCUAAACAUCAAAAGAUAACCAUACAAACAAAUAUCUUAUUUUCCUCCAAUGAAUACCUUCACAAUCUGCUAACAGACUUUGAUUUGACAAGGAAGAUAUUCAUAACGCAAAGAAACAGGCUACAGAUAAUCCUAUGGCUCCUGCUGGAGAGUCUGGAGUAGCUUAAACAAAACAAUUUUAAACAUAUAAGAUUCUAAAGCUGUGAAGCAAGAUGAAGAUUCUCAAUUUCUCAGAUCUGAAGCCAACUGCCCGACUCGGUCGGUCACUUAGGAGGAGAGAGGAAUACUUAGGACUUUAGGAUCUGGACUCUACUCUAGAGUGGAGUACUGGAGUUAGGCAGUAAGGCA
rnacentral:lncRNA from 1 species